UACGGAGGGGGGCUAGCGUUGUUCGGAAUUACUGGGCGUAAAGCGCACGUAGGCGGACUGUUAAGUCGGGGGGUGAAAUCCUGGGGCUCAACCUCAGAAUUGCCUCCGAUACUGGCAGUCUCGAGUGCGGGAGAGGUGAGUGGAAUUCCCAGUGUAGAGGUGAAAUUCGUAGAUAUUGGGAAGAACACCAGUGGCGAAGGCGGCUCACUGGCCCGUAACUGACGCUGAGGUGCGAAAGCGUGGAGAGCAAACAGG
rnacentral:rRNA from 1 species